CAGCCGCCGCGGUAAUACGAACCGUGCGAACGUUAUUCGGAAUCACUGGGCUUAAAGCGCGUGUAGGCGGGACGGCACGUCGACUGCUGAAAUCCCUCGGCUUAACCGAGGAAGUGGCAUCGAUACGGCCGUCCUGGAGGAACGUAAGGGGACCUGGAACUUCCGGUGGAGCGGUGAAAUGCGUUGAGAUCGGAAGGAACGCCCGUGGCGAGAGCGAGGUCCUGGACGUUUUCUGACGCUGAGACGCGAAAGCUAGGGGAGCGAACGGGAUUAGAUACCCCAGUAGUCCCUGUCUCUUAUA
rnacentral:rRNA from 1 species